CCUGACUGCUAUCGRAUUGAUACUAASCCAUGCGAGUCAUUGUASCAAUACAAGGCAKACGGCUCAGUAACGCGUAGUCAACCUACCCUAUGGACGGGAAUAACCUCGGGAAACUGAGUAUAAUGCCCGAUAGAACACUAUGCCUGGAAAGGUUUGUGUUCCAAACGAUUUAUCGCCGUAGGAUGGGACUGCGGYCUAUCAGYUUGUUGGUGAGGUAAUGGCCCACCAAGACUAUUACAGGUACGGGCUCUGAGAGGAGUAGCCCGGAGAUGGGUACUGAKACACGGACCCAGGCCCUAUGGGGCGCAGCAGGCGAGAAAACUUUGCAAUGUGCGAAAGCACGACAAGGUUAAUCCGAGUGGUUUCUGCUAAAGGAACCUUUUGACAGUCCUAAAAACACUGUUGAAUAASGRGUGGGCWAGUUCUGGUGUCAGCCGCCGCGGUAAAACCAGCACCUCAAGUGGUCAGGAUGAUUAUUGGGCCUAAAGCAUCCGUAKMCGGCUCUGUUARUUUUCGGUUAAAUCWGUACGCUCAACRUACASGCUGCCGGAWAUACUGCAKAGCUAGGGAGUGGGAGAGGUAGACGGYACUCGGUASGRAGGGGUAAAAUCCUUUGAUCUAUUGAUGACCACCUGUGGCGAASGCGGUCUACCAGAACACGUCCGACGGUGAKGGAUGAAAGCUGGGGGAGCAAACCGGAUUAGAUWCCCGGGUAGWCCCAGCUGUWAACUAUGCAACUCWGUGAUGCAUUGGCUUGUKGCCAAUGCAGUGCUGCWGYAAGCCGUUAAKUYUGCCGCCUGGGAAGUACGUACGCAMGUAUGAAACUUAAGGAUUGGCGKGGGASCACCACAGGGGUGAAKCCUGCGGU
rnacentral:rRNA from 1 species